UCAAUUAAAAACUAUCAUGCAUGGUGGUGGCUCUGAGCUAGAGUGGUGUCCAGUGAUGUAGUCCAGGUGUCGCAGUACUCCAGAUGCAGAGAUGGGCAAAAUACAUCUAAAAGGAAUUUUAGAUACAAAAUACCUGAUAAGGAAAUGUGGGGUUUUUUUGGCAGACCAGGAACCUAACUUAUAGAUCCAGUUUCACCAAAUGUCCAAAUGUCAUUUUUGUGGAAACAAAAGCCAUGAAGCUUUUGUAACAGAAUACUUUGGUGCCAAAAACCUAAAAAGCACUGGAAAUCAAAUUAACCCCCUGUAAACCUUAUAUAGCAAGAAAUUGUACUUUCACUGAAAUACCACAUUUGGAUUUUUAAAACUCAACUUGUUCAUCCCAUUCCUUUCUGUAAAAGGAAUUUAUACUCAGAUACUAGAAGCAUUUUAUUUGCUUCAGUUGUGGAAUGUGUUCCCUGUGGAUAUAAGAGGAUUAGCUUCCUUGGAGGCCUUCAAGAGAGCCUUCAAGAGCCAUCUUUUUAACCUGGCUUUUAAUGAUAUCUAGUUUUAAUUUUAUUAAAAUCUGGUUUAAUUUUUUUUAAAAUUGUUUUAUUAUGUGUUUUUGAUAAUGUUAACCUCCCUGAACCACUUUAGGAAGGGUGGUCUCUAAUCUUCCUUGGCUGGGCAAGGUGAUUGAGCGAGUGAUUGCUUCUCAGCUCCAGGAAGUUUUGGGUGACACAGAUUAUUUAGAUCCUUUCCAGACUGGUUUUCGGGUGGGCUAUGAGGUUGAGACUGACUUGGUCGGCCUGAUGGAUGAUCUCCAAUUGGCGAUAAUUUCUUCUUUGAUGUCUCCAGGAAGAAAUGCAGUUUUCACGGCUGUGUGAUCCACUUGCAUUUUAUUUGCUGCUGCAGUGCUUAGGAGUGUCCUUACUGAGCUUCCUUCCAGUUGUGUGCUUCAGUUACAGGCUACUCCCAUCCAUCCAAUUCUGAGCAGCUGCAGAAGACACAGCUGGGCUGUAUGCAAUCCAAAUUGUACUUUCAAGAGGAAGGAACAGAAAGGUCAACUUAACCAUCACAGCUAAGCCACUGUUUCUCUUGAGUGGACCACCAGGCUCUGUAAUUGUUGUGCAAAGAAACAAAAUUCCUGCAGGUCAGCUAAGCUUUGUGAGCACAUGUAGUAGCAAAUGGAAGUCCAAUAACUUUCCCAUAAUAUCUUCUACAGAUUUAAAAUGUCAUGUGACAUUUUAAAAGUCUCAACAGAUUUACCAAUAUAUCUGUUUUUGUACAUUUAAGUAUUUCAAGCUUACAUAUCAGAUUGAGAUGUACCGAGGCCUGAUUUUUAUAUACACAUAUAUAAAAAUAUAUGUAUAUUCUAUCUAUCUAUCUAUCUAUCUAUCUAUCUAUCUAUCUAUCUAUCUAUCUAUCUACCUACCUACCUACCUACCUACCUACCUACCUACCUACCUACCUAUCUAUCUAUACACAUACACAUAUAAACUUGGAGAAGAAUGUACUCUUGGAAAACAUGCAGAUGAUAAGCAAAAUUAUGACAAAUCUAAAGCAGUUUGUGAAGCAAUACCAUAAGAUUUUCAGAACAAGUAGGGUAUGUAAAAAUAGCUGUAUUACAGAGUUGAUGCUCUCAAAUGAGCAUCAUUUCAGCAUCCUUUGCACUGGCUUCUUAUGCAAGAUGCUUGCUCUAGCCCAGUGGAAUUCUUGUUUGCUUUCAACACCUGACCGUUCUGCCGCAUUGUAAACUACUUUUGCAACAGUUCACCAUGCAGCAUUUAUGGGAGCUGCUUUCUCAGGCCUUCAGAACUUGUGACCAACUCACCACUCAUGUAUGGUGGUCCACUAGGGCCUUCCCCCUACAGCCAGCCCAUCCAUUAAGCAGACCUAGACAGUUACCUAGGGCACCAAUACUCGGGGGGCGCUGCAGUUCCCUGGGUGUAAGUUAAGUGGGCACGGCGCACCUCCUAGCUAGUCUCCUGUUUCCCUCCUCCUCUCCUCUCAGUGGGCACUGUCCCUGCCCUCUCCCUGCCUCGCUUUGCUCGAAUACUGCUGCAGCUGCUCAGGCAGGAGCUCCCAUCCCAGUUUCUCACGUGCCUGGACCCAAAACAGGAAGCAGUGUGUGUGGGGGGUUGGUUUGGCUGCAGUCGGGGCUGGUUGGUCACGAAGGAAAGCUCCUUGCAGCACCAUUAAAAGCUGCCUCUUAGCAGCCAGAGAGGUUGGUUGGCCCUGAGGUUGGCAAGGCCCGCACUGCUGAGGGAAAGGAGGCGGUGGCAAUAGAGGAAGGGCAGGCAUCAGGGAGACUGAGCGCCUCAACCCUUCUGCCUCUUCCACUGUAUCCCCAACUAACACGGGUUAGUCAUUUGCUGGACUUCCGAAUGGGCUGGUCAUUCAACCCAGUGAAUGAGCAGCCUACACAGCUCAGUUAAAGCUAGGACUCCAUGCUUCUCGGCUGGGGUGUGUGUGCCAAGGUUAUCUAUCUAUCUAUCUGAUUUGUACACCACCCCAAACUUUUGUCUCUGGGCGGUUAACAAUAACAUAAAAACAAAUUUAAAAACAUACACAAAAACUUAAAACAAUUUAGACAAUUUCAAAUCAAACUCAGAUUUAAACCUAAAAAUGUAAAAAAGCUGAAAAAGCUUGGGUGAGGAGGUGGGUUUUCAAAAGCUUUUAAAAAAUGGUCAGAGAUGGGAUCAUAUUUCUGUAGGGAAUGCAUUCCACAAUCUCGGGGCAGCAACCGAGAAGGCCCAUCCCUGUGUGGCUACCAGCUGAGCUAGCAGCAAUUGGAGACAGAGCUCUCCAGAUGACCUCAAUGGGAGGUGGGGCUCAUAAUGAAGAAGAUGUUCUCUUAAAUACCCAGGGCCUAAGCUGUUUAGGGCUUUAUAGGUUAUAACCAGCACUUUAUAUUUUGCCUGGAAACCUAUUGGCAGCCAGUGUAGUUCUAUUAGCAAAGGAGUAAAUGUGGUCUCUCUGAGAUGACCCAGAGACCAACCUGGCUGCCACAUUCUGUACCAACUGGAGUUUCCGGACUAUGUACAAAGGCAACCCCACAUAGAGUGCAUUGCAGAGGUCAAGUCUGGAGCAUAUGUACCAGCAUAUGUAGCACUGUUUUGAGGUCGUUCGUCUCAAGAAACGGACGCAGCUGGAUGCAGCUGGUUAAACUUUGCCUAGAGCACCAAAAGCUCUAGGGCUGGCUGUGCUCCCCCCACCCUCCGCCACUCACCGGAGAGGCCACACAGUACACCACUACGGUGAGCUGUACUUGAUCUGGAGAGUUCAAGUUGUGCAGACCCCACCUGCUCUCUCUUUGGCACUCACAAGUUAAAUGGGACUUGUCUGAGGGCAGAAUCCAGCAUGUGUUUGGUCAGGAAUUUUAUGUUAAAAACCAUCAGCAGUUUGGGGGCCCUAAAAAUCUCCAGCUUCCCAAGUGGAUGUAUUCAAGAGAGAGGGGACAGCUUGCUAAAGAUUCACCAGCCUCAUUCAAAAUAUCCCAUCUGGGACAUAUGCGAUGCCACUAAGUCAUGUUUAGUACUGCCAGGCUUAGGAGAGCCACAAAUACUGAAUGAAAUAGCCUUUGUGUGCAAACGCAAAGUAUUAAAUAAAUUAAAUCAAACACAUUUCCCAUGAUAAUGGUUACUAUCACUUCCCUGUGGUGGACCAAACAAAGUGAUAGAAUCCAGGUAAGCAGAUGUUUAGGAAAUGAUGUAAAAUGUUGGUUUUCAGACAGGUAUUUAAUGUUUUGUCUUUUUAAAAGGAGGCAUGAUUUAACCGAGCCGAGUUACUCUUUUCUGGUGAUUUAGUGGCUGACAUGCAGCACAGCCUUCUGAUGGCGGAAUAAGAGCUCUGUUCUCGCAAAGAGCCAGUAAAUUAGCUGCGUGUGAGGCUUGGCUUAGCUUGCAGUAUUAUUGCUCAGGAAGAGGGGGUUGAUGAUGUGAUUUCUGCAAAGUCUUUUUCUCUGGCAGUAAUUUCAGGAAAAGGGCUUUUGUGGACAGAGAUGAAAAGUGAAAAUAAUAGGCUUGUGCCCGAAACGUUUCGGGUGUCGGGGCAGAUUCGGCGAUUCGGCGAA